AGCGAACGCUGGCGGCGUGCCUAACACAUGCAAGUCGAACGUGAAAGGGAGCAAUCCUAAGUAAAGUGGCGUACGGGUGAGUAACACGUAGGUAAUCUACCCCAGAAUCUGGAAUAACCGGCCGAAAGGCUGGCUAAUACUGGAUAGAGCGACGGAAUCCGUAAUUGGGUUUUUCGGGAAAGGGAGCCUGUAAAAAGGCCUUCGUUCUGGGAUGAGCCUGCGUCCCAUCAGCUAGUUGGUGAGGUAAAAGCUUACCAAGGCAAUGACGGGUAGCUGGUCUGAGAGGACGAUCAGCCACACUGGAACUGAAACACGGCCCAGACUCCUACGGGAGGCAGCAGUGGGGAAUCUUGCGCAAUGGACGAAAGUCUGACGCAGCAACGCCGCGUGAGUGAAGAAGGCCUUCGGGCUGUAAAGCUCUGUCGAGUGGGACGAAAAUGCUUGGAGUUCACAGCUCCAGGAACUGACGGUACCACUAAAGGAAGCACCGGCUAACUCCGUG
rnacentral:rRNA from 1 species